GAAGUACGGAACUAAGGUUCACAUUGCUGGCGUGGGUGAUUUUGAAUUGGCUAGUGUAACCAGUUUGGCUGAUCCUUGUCCUUUGCCUUCUGCUGCCAAAAAGAAAGGACUACGUGAUAAGGAGAAAUUGUUUUAUGCUCCUAUGUCUGGGCUUGGAGAUCUCUUGUAUGACAAGGAUGCUGUUUAUAUAAACAUCAAUGACCA
rnacentral:misc_RNA from 1 species